AGGGGCUCUGCAAGUCUCGACUGGAGCAUCGUACCCGGAGCAACUCCGAUCUAUAUGUCUCUCAUUCUCAUCCUCAUCCUUAUCCUGAGAAUGCCCUUCUCAUGGAAAUGUCGGAAGAGGAAGAACAAGGAGGCCAGUCACAGAAGCACACCCCAAUUCUCUGCUCCCAUCACAUCUACUAACACACUACUGGCCACAGCAGACUACACACCCAAGCUAAGUAUACAUGGAAUAUUAUUCAGCCAUAAAAAAGAAAAAAUCCCACCUUUUGCACAACACGGUUGGACCUUGAGGGCAUUAUGCUAAGUGAAAUAAGUCAGAGGAAGACAAAACUAUUCUUAUAGCUGAGAAGAGCUCGAAAUACAGGAAGGCAGAAACUUCCCUGUGCUCUGGAUGAAGAGUGCUGUGAGGCUUGCCAUAUUCUCCUCUUCUUUCCUUUCCCUGAGUCUCCCAUCCUCAAAGAAAGAUCUGCCUGUUGUCUACUUGGAGCCCCUGAAACUGUGCACCCUGAAAAGCAAAGAUCUGAGUCGACGGAGUAUAACCUACACUGAUGCAGCUUUUAGGCUGUAUUGUUAAGAAAAAACUUCUUACUGUCAAAUGCAGCAGACUAAAAACACAUUUUGCUAAAGAGGAUGUUUUACCACUGAGGCACUAAAAGCUAAGUGGGCUACAUUUCUGAAAGAUCUAUAAAGUUUAGGAGGAAUUAAAGGAGAAAUAUAUCAACAUUUAUGGAAGAUUAAUGAAAGCCUGCAAAAUGUGAAAUGUAAUGUCCUUAAAUUAGUCUGGGAAAAGAAAUGGAAGAAAAUGUCGAAGGAACUGGGAUGAAAUUCAGAAAGAAACCUCCUAGACUGAACACCGGAGAAAUGCCAGACAAGGAGAAAUCUACUACAAUACAGGAGCUUUCCCAAGGAAAGGAAGGAAGUGGUCCAGAGGAGACAGAUCGUUCUCGGGGUCCACUGUCAGGGCUGGGUGAAUAAAAUGAUCUGUUUUGUACUGUA
rnacentral:lncRNA from 1 species